rnacentral:misc_RNA from 1 species
CCUGAGUGUCAACUGGAGUUUUCAGACCUGUAUAUAAGACCGUGGGCAUGAGGACUACGACAUAGAUAUAUAUAUACAUUCAGUGGUGAAUACCCUUUUUGUUAGAUUUAAGAAGGCGGACGGUGAACCGGUGCAGUCAGUGCGAUCGCCACGUCGUAAUUUGUGAAAGAUCUAUGUGAAGUACAUUUUAUCACUAUUCAAGCCGAGAUCAUGGAGAUUACGACAACGGAACUUUUGUGGAAAGUAUCAAAACUACCUCAGCUUACACAUGUUCGCGUUGGCUUAUCUAGAAAGUUCUCAAGAAUCCUAAAUAUUGGAACAUUCGCGGUGAUUACUGGAAUGAUUGGUGCUGCAAUCAACCCUAUUGGACUAGUAAUUGGAGCCAUAAUUGGAGGAGGUUCAGCAGCUUACUUUACGAAAAAAAAAUCUGAAUCAAUUCCUGACUUAAUUAUGAUGAAAUUCAUAGAAAAUCAAAAAUGUGAGCUUGCUAUACGAAUCCGUGGAAGCCUACAAUCGAUUAAAUUACUAACUAGCGAUGAUUUUGAAUUCUUGGUCGCUCAAAACCCAGGUCUCUCCAAAGUUGUAGCUGAGACUGUAACUCAUUACAUAGAAUCCCAAAAUAUGAAAGUUAUGAAUUUCAGUAUGACACAAGUCUGAUAACUACACCCAUGGGACAAUUUAAGGUAGUACCGUGAUAGCAGUAGUCCGCAAUUUCCAGAGAAAUAUCCCUUGUAUAAAACAUUAUAACUAAAGUAAAAAGUAGUUGAGAUACAGUACACCUUUGCGCCUCCUCUCACAUGCGCAGAAGUAUAAAAAUUUUCCCAUUGCGUCUUUUGUCUGACUUGGCAACGUUGCAUUCUAACUCAGUAUCUCUUGCCCCUCAAGCAUGUGUUGUAGAGAAAUGUAUUGUUAUCUAAUCAAUUUGAGGUUAGUUAUAAUUAAUAUUAACAAUUUUAAUUUUUUCUGUACCGUAACCUAUAUCCGCAAAGUUCUGACAUUUAUUUCAAUUCGUUGGGCCUUUAUGGCAUUUUAAACUUCCCGCGUAGGGCAACGUUGCCAAGUCACUAUUUCUCACGGGUCAGGUUAUGAGAGAAAGUUUGAAAAUCAUUAAAAGCAACAAACUUUAAGAAUUAUUUACAAAAAAAUGAAUACUGCUUGUUUAUGUUUUUUUUGAAAAAAAUUACUUGUUAUAUCCUCAAUUAAUAAUUCUCAGUUUUUAAAAAAAAUUCUAAGAAAAGUAUGGCUGUUAUUAAAUAAAAUGCUCACUCUAACUACGGUCGGGAUAGGGAAUACAUGUAAAUUGUACGACUUUUGAUCGCUAAUAUUGCAAAAUUUAGUACCGCAAGGACUAUUAAAAAAAAUUCCUACGUAUAAAGGACACUUCAAAUUAUGUGUAUUCAAAAAUUGAAAGAUAUUGUAAGCAAAGUGAUUUAUCACGGUACUACCUUAACUGAAAAAUCAGAAGGUAUACUAAGUUAAUAGAUAUUUAUAAAAGUGAAAUCGUUUUCGGAGACGCACACAAUGAAUUGUCUGAAUUUUUCAUUUCCGAGUGAAUUUAAUGGAAAUAUGCAUCAUAUUCUAUCUAAACCUUCAACAUAUGCUGUAAGAUCUAAAUCGAACAGACGAAUAGCACUGAUUUUAUUAGUUUUAAGUUUUGUACUAGCUAAUGAGUCACUUUAGUUGUAAAUACUAUUAAUCACGUAACUUGCUUUACAUGUAUUAUACAUAUACAACAUGAAUAUUAUGAUAUGCACCAUUUGUACAGUAUACAUGAGUUUUAGUGCAAGUGUAAAAUAGUAGGAGAAUGUUAUAUAUUUUUAUGGCCCUGUAAUUUCACACGUGUUAUAUAGCUUUUAUAGCCGCGUGCUAUAAAAUUGAACAAAAAUUUCCAUUGUUAGAAUUGACUGAAUCAUUUCAAUCACGAAUAGGAUAUUGAGUAGUUAGUUUCUCUCAUCUCAAUACAAUUUUUACCAGGUAUAUGUAUAAAAUAUACAUCACAUACCACUAAAAAGUAUUUUAUCACAUUUUACAUGUAUACUAGAAAAUAAGAGUAUGUAUAUCCAUCAUAUCUAUACCUGUAUGAUAAUUGUAAAGGUCAGAAUUUUAUACGAUAUAUAUAAUAAUCUACCGUAGUAACUUAAUCAACAAUAUUUAGUCGUGAAAAAGAGUGUCUAACCAUAAACUGAUUGUAAUACUUACUCAUUUAUUGGAAACAAAUUUCAAUUUUUUACCAUUCAGCAAAGUGUUGAUUUUUUUCAUAUACUUUCGAUCCAAAAAAAAUCUUAGUAUCCUCAAAUAAAAUAACUGUCUUACAAAUAAAUAUACAAACUUCCAGAUACCAAUAUUUGUUGAAGUUGAGAAUAGACUUUUCAAAUUAGACUUGGACCGUUCAAAAUAGGCGCUCCGGAAACGGAAAAACAAGCAACGUGCGCUGCGUGCGCGCUCACAGGUACAGCUGGUGGUCCACUCUAGUGGUAAGUACAGUAAAAUAAAUUUUGGUUUCGGUGACGUUAUUGCACACUGGACAUGAUGUGAUUUUGUAAUACGUUAUGCUGUGCUGUACUCCUGUGACAUUAGGGUAGUACCUAUUCUACGUUCAAAACCCGAUGCAACCGUUCUAUCGCAACUGUGUUUUAAGGAAAUUUAAUAUAUGGAUAAGUCUUACCUAGGGAGAGUGAUGCUUCUGUUAGCCUGAUGCGCUCUGCUGGUAAGGAUCGGGUGACAAGGCCAAAACAGCACGCAACAACAUACUUCUCCCGAAAAACUAAAGGAGUUAUCUAUAGAAAGUUCAGUGGUCAUCACCGUAAACGCGAUCAUCACUCAUCGUUGCAGCUGUCAUUACGUUGAAGAAGUGAUCACGUCACACCACAUUGGUAAAUCAGGUCACAAACAAAUCAUGG